GCCGGGAAGAGGAAGAAAGAGAUAACUCAAAAGCAAUAGGAAUGGGAACAUGGAGGAAAGCCUCCUUGUUUGUUUGCGCCUCUAGUGUUGACGGUGAAAAUAUUUGGCAUGAAUCCUUUCCUGAUGCCUCCCAUUCCUAUCGUUUUUGUGCACUCCUUCCUCUUCCUUUUGGCU
rnacentral:pre_miRNA from 1 species